rnacentral:rRNA from 1 species
GACGAACGCUGGCGGCGUGCUUAACACAUGCAAGUCGAGCGAUGAAACUACUUCGGUAGUGAAUUAGCGGCGAACGGGUGAGGAACACGUGAGGAAUCUGCCUUCAACACUGGGAUAACUCCGGGAAACCGGGCUAAUACCGGAUACGAGCCUUGAUCGCAUGAUCGAGGCUGGAAAGUUUUUCGGUUGAAGAUGACCUCGCGGCCUAUCAGCUUGUUGGUGAGGUAAUGGCUCACCAAGGCGACGACGGGUAGCCGGCCUGAGAGGGCGACCGGCCACACUGGGACUGAGACACGGCCCAGACUCCUACGGGAGGCAGCAGUGGGGGAAUAUUGGGCAAUGGAGGAAACUCUGACCCACGCGACGCCGCGUGCGGGA